AGGACGUCCACUUAACUUGGAGUCCGAACUCUCACUUUCUAACCCUGUGCACUUGUUUGGGAUAGUAACUCUCGCAAGAGAGCGAACUCCUAUUCACUUAUAAACACAAAGUCUAUGAAUGUAUUAAAUUUUAUAACAAAAUAAAACUUUCAACAACGGAUCUCUUGGCUCUCGCAUCGAUGAAGAACGCAGCGAAAUGCGAUAAGUAAUGUGAAUUGCAGAAUUCAGUGAAUCAUCGAAUCUUUGAACGCACCUUGCGCUCCAUGGUAUUCCGUGGAGCAUGCCUGUUUGAGUGUCAUGAAUACUUCAACCCUCCUCUUUCUUAAUGAUUGAAGAGGUGUUUGGUUUCUGAGCGCUGCUGGCCUUUACGGUCUAGCUCGUUCGUAAUGCAUUAGCAUCCGCAAUCGAACUUCGGAUUGACUUGGCGUAAUAGACUAUUCGCUGAGGAAUUCUAGUCUUCGGAUUAGAGCCGGGUUGGGUUAAAGGAAGCUUCUAAUCAGAAUGUCUACAUUUUAAGAUUAGAUCUCAAAUCAGGUAGGACUACCCGCUGAACUUAAGCAUAUCAAUAAGCGAGGGAAAAAGAAAAUUUUUU
rnacentral:rRNA from 1 species